CGGGGAUUAGCUCAGAUGGCUAGAGCGCGUGGUUUGGGACCACGAGGUCGCGAGUUCGAGUCCCGCAUCCCCGA
rnacentral:tRNA from 1 species